rnacentral:rRNA from 1 species
UCCGAGGGUGUCCGAAUGGGGGAACCUAACCUGGGUUGUGCUGGGUUACCAUCAUCUGAACGUGUAUAGGGUGGUGGGGGGAACGCGGGGAAGUGAAACAUCUUAGUACCCGUAGGAGAAGAUAUUCCGUGAGUAGUGGCGAGCGAAAGCGGAUGAUGGUGAAACCGUGUGCGUGUGAUACUCGGCAGGGGUUGCGUGUGCGGGGUUGUGGGGCUGUCCUGUUUCUCUUCUGCCGGAGAGGGGGCGCGUGUGCUGAUCUGUAGCUGAAUCGUCUGGGAAGGCGUGGCGUAGUGGGUGAUACCCCCGUAGGCGGAACUGGUUGGUGCGUGUCUGGGAUGGUGCCCGAGUAGCACGGGGCUCGUGGAAUCUCGUGUGAAUCUGCCAGGACCACCUGGUAAGUCUAAAUACUUCUUAAUGACCGAUAGUGAAUCAGUACCGUGAGGGAAUGGUGAAAAGUACCCCGGGAGGGGAGUGAAAUAGUACCUGAAACCGUGUGCUUACAAGCCGUUGGAGCCUUUUGGGGUGACAGCGUGCCUUUUGAAGAAUGAGCCUGCGAGUUAGUGUUAUGUCGCGAGGUUAACCCGUGUGGGGUAUCCGUAGCGAAAGCGAGUCUGAAUAGGGCGUUUGAGUGGCAUGACCUAGACCCGAAGCGGAGUGAUCUAUCCAUGGCCAGGUUGAAGCACGUGUAAGAGCGUGUGGAGGACCGAACCCACCUAGGUUGAAAACUGGGGGGAUGAGCUGUGGAUAGGGGUGAAAGGCCAAUCAAACUCUGUGAUAGCUGGUUCUCCCCGAAAUGCAUUUAGGUGCAGCGUUACGUGUUUCUUGCCGGAGGUAGAGCUACUGGAUGGCCGAUGGGCCUUCACGGGUUACUGACGUCAGCUAAACUCCGAAUGCCGGUAAGUGAGAGCGUAGCAGUGAGACAGUGGGGGAUAAGCUUCAUUGUCGAGAGGGAAACAGCCCAGACCACCAACUAAGGCCCCUAAGCGUGUGCUAAGUGGGAAAGGAUGUGGAGUUGCUGAGACAACCAGGAGGUUGGCUUAGAAGCAGCCAUCCUUGAAAGAGUGCGUAAUAGCUCACUGGUCAAGUGAUUCUGCGCCGAUAAUGUAGCGGGGCUCAAGUACACCGCCGAAGUUGUGGCAAUGAUCUUUUUGGAUUGUUGGGUAGGGGAGCGUCGUGUAGCCAGUGAAGCUGCGGUGUAAACCAGUGGUGGAGGCUAUGCGAGUGAGAAUGCAGGCAUGAGUAGCGAAAGAUGAGUGAGAAACUCAUCCGCCGGAUGAUCAAGGGUUCCAGGGUCAAGUUAAUCUGCCCUGGGUUAGUCGGGGCCUAAGGCGAGGCCGACAGGCGUAGUCGAUGGAUAACGGGUUGAUAUUCCCGUACCGGUGAAAAACCGCCCAUACUGAUAUUGUGAUGCUAACCAUGCGAAGCAUGAUGUGCAGGCUUUUGUUUGUGUGUUGUGUGGGUUGUGGGACCCGAUCUUUGGAGGUAAACGUGUUAACAGGUGUGACGCAGGAAGGUAGCCAAGCCACGCGAUGGUUGUCGUGGUCUAAGCGUGUAGGGUUGUCGGUUGUUAAAUGCGCCGGCUGUGUGCCUGAGACGUGAUGGGACCCCGUUUUUGGGGGAUUUGGUGAUCCUAUGCUGCCGAGAAAAGCAUCGGCGUGAGGUUUUAGCCGCCCGUACCCUAAACCGACACAGGUGAUCAGGUAGAGAAUACUAAGGCGAUCGAGAGAAUCAUGGUUAAGGAACUCGGCAAAAUGCCCCCGUAACUUCGGGAGAAGGGGGGCCCGAACCCUGAGGCCCCGUGCGGGCUAGGGGGGUGGGUCGCAGAGACCAGGGGGAAGCGACUGUUUACUAAAAACACAGGUCCGUGCGAAGCCGUAAGGCGAUGUAUACGGACUGACGCCUGCCCGGUGCUGGAAGGUUAAGAGGAACCAUCAACCCCCUCGUGGGGUGAAGUGGUGAAUUUAAGCCCCAGUAAACGGCGGUGGUAACUAUAACCAUCCUAAGGUAGCGAAAUUCCUUGUCGGGUAAGUUCCGACCUGCACG